UACGAGGGGGGCGAGCGUUGUUCGGAAUUAUUGGGCGUAAAGGGUGCGUAGGCGGUUUGGUAAGUCUUGUGUGAAAUCUACAGGCUCAACUUGUAGUCUGCACGAGAAACUGCCGGGCUUGAGUAUGGGAGAGGUGAGUGGAAUUCCUGGUGUAGCGGUGAAAUGCGCAGAUAUCAGGAGGAACACCAGCGGCGAAGGCGGCGCUCUGGGCCGGAACUGACGCUGAGGAGCGAAAGCGUGGGUAGCAAACAGG
rnacentral:rRNA from 1 species